GUCUACUCCACCUGUUGUAUUCAGCAUCUCACUGUGAGGUCUACUACACCUGUUGUAUUCAGCAUUUCACUGUAAGGUCUACUACACCUGUUGUAUUCAGCAUUUCACUGUAAGGUCUACUACACCUGUUGUAUUCAGCAUUUCACUGUGAGGUCUACACCUGUUGUAUUCAGCAUCUCACUGUGAGGUCUACUACACCUGUUGUAUUCAGCAUCUCACUGUGAGGUCUACUACACCUGUUGUAUUCAGCAUUUCACUAUGAGGUCUACACCUGUUGUAUUCAGCAUUUCACUGUGAGGUCUACUACACCUGUUGUAUUCUGCAUUUCACUGUGAGGUCUACACCUGUUGUAUUCAGCAUUUCACUGUGAGGUCUACUACACCUGUUGUAUUCAGCAUUUCACUGUGAGGUCUACUACACCUGUUGUAUUCAGCAUCUCACUGUGAGGUCUACCACACCUGUUGUAUUCAGCAUUUCACUGUGAGGUCUACUGCAUCUGUUGUAUUCAGCAUUUCACUGUAAGGUCUACUACACCUGUUGUAUUCAGCAUUUCACUGUGAGGUCUACUACACCUGUUGUAUUCAGCAUUUCACUGUGAGGUCUAUACCUGUUGUAUUCAGCGCAUGUAACAAAUACAAUUUGAUUUGAUUUGAUUGAGUAGCAUUAAGGGCUCUUCAACAACAUGAGACCCGACUGACCUCAGAGAGAGAGAGACAAAGCUGGUCUCUCUCACACGUGUCCCAAUGUUAGUUUUACUGUUAGGGUAAACACACACACACACAGCACAACACUCACACACACUCAGUAGGUGGCUCAAAGUGCAGGUUGGGGUGCAGUGACCGAUAGUUUGGGUCCCAAACACACACACCACUAAGAGACUUAGUCGCGAACGCACUCUGGAUUUCCAUCCCGUGUAAUAUCUACAGAUUUGUUGUGAUGAAGGAGGCUGUGGAGCCCGGGUCCGUCCAGGGGUCUGUUGUCAUGACUACAGAAUAUCAGGACGACUUCCAAAAUACAGACACCAGCGACAACCGAGCCUUAUGGACCAGAGAGCCAGAGUCCAGGUUAGGCCUCGUGCCCCGAUCAGGCAGAGGGAGAUGGAUGUGGGCGGGGCCUGUUCUGUCUGCUUUCUUCCUAUUGGCUCUGAUCAUCUUUGUCUCCGUCAGCAAUAGGAAGACUGACAGCAGGUUCUCGUCAGUAGAAAAGUCUGUUGCCAACCUGAGUUCAGCUGUUCAGACAGUCACCACCACUCUACAACAGAGCAAGGCCUCAGGUACCCACACACCCACACACACCCACACCCACACACACACACCCACAACCACACCCACACACCCACACCCACCCACACCACACCCCCACACACACCUACACACCCAAAAACCCCACACCCCCACACACACCUACACACCCAAAAACCCCACACCACCACACACCACCACACACCACACCCACAACCACACCCACAACCACACCCACACACACACACCCACACCCACACACACACACACACCCACACACACACACACCCACACACACCCAUACCUACACACCCACACCUACACACCCACACCCCCACACCCCCCCACACACACACACCCACACACACACACCCACCCCACACACCCACCCCCACACAACCACACCCACACACACCCAUACCUACACACCCACACACACCCAAAAACCCACCCCCACACAACCACACCACCACACACCCAUACCUACACACCCACACACACCCAAAACCCCACACCACACACACACCGCAUGCAUAUACACACACCACACCACACCCCCCCACCCUCACCACACCCACACACCACACACCAAGCAUAUCAAUCAAAUGUAUUUAUAUAGCCCUUCUUACAUCAGCUGAUAUCUCAAAGUGCUGUACAGAAACCCAGCCUAAAACCCCAAACAGCAAACAAUGCAGGUGUAGAAGCACAGUGGCUAGGAAAAACUCCCUAGAAAGGCCAGAACCUAGGAAGAAACCUAGAGAGGAACCAGGCUAUGAGGGGUGGCCAGUCCUCUUCUGGCUGUGCCGGGUAGAGAGGAACCAGGCUAUGAGGGGUGACCAGUCCUCUUCUGGCUGUGCCGGGUGGAGAGGAACCAGGCUCUGAGGGGUGACCAGUCCUCUUCUGGCUGUGCUGGGUGGAGAGGAACCAGGCUCUGAGGGGUGGCCAGUCCUCUUCUGGCCGUGCCGGGUGGAGAUUAUAACAGAACAUGGCCAAGAUGUUCAAAUGUUCAUAAAUGACCAGCAGGGUCAAAUAAUAAUAAUCACAGUGGUUGUCGAGGGUGCAACAAGUCCUCCUCCGAGAGAGAGAGAAUUAGAGAGAGAAAGAGAGAAUUAGAGAGAGCAUACUUAAAUUCACACAGGACACUGGAUAAGACAGGAGAAAUACUCCAGAUAUAACAGACUGACCCUAGCCCCCCCGACACAUAAACUACUGCAGCAUAAAUACUGGAGGCUGAGACAGGAGGGGUCAGGAGACACUGUGGCCCCAUCCGAUGAUACCCCCAGACAGGGCCAACCAGGCAGGAUAUAACCCCACCCACUUAGCCGAAGCACAGCCCCCACACCACUAGAGGGAUACCUUCAACCACUAACUUACCAUCCUGAGUCAAGGCCGAGUUGUGCAGACUCAGGACAACUGAGCUUUGGAGUAAUUUGCUUUCUAAUGAUCAUGAUCUUUUCCUCAAAGAAGUUCAUCCUCUCUUGGGGAAUGCUGCUUUUUAGUUAGCUUUGCGACAGUAUCAAAAAUACAUUUUGGAUUGUUCUUAUUUUCCUCAAUUAAGUUGGAAUAAUAGGAUAUCGAGCAGCAGUGAGAGCUCUUAGGUACUGUCUUUCCAAGCUAGUCGGAAGACUUCCAAUUUGGUGUAGCGCCAUUUCCGUUCCAAUUUUCUGGAAGCUUGCUUCAGAGCUCUGGUAUUUUCUGUAUACCAGGGAGCUAGUUUCUUAAGACAAAUGUUUUUUGUUUUUAGGGGUGCGACUGCAUCUAGGGUAUUGCGCAAGGUUAAAUUGAGUUCCUCAGUUAGGUGGUUAACUGAUUUUUGUACUCUGACAUCCUUGGGUAGGUGGAGGGAGUCUGGAAGGGCAUCUAGGAAUCUUUGGGUUAUCCGAGAAUUUAUAGCACAUCUUUUAAUAAUCCUUGGUUGGGGUCUGAGUAGAUUAUGGUGGUCCAAUAGUCCAGGAUUAUGAGGAAAAACAAUAAGAUCCACAACAUUUAUUCCACGGGACAAAACUAGGUCCAGAGUAUGACAGUGGCAGUGAGUAGGUCCAGAGACAUGUUGGAACAAACCCACUGAGUCAAUGAUGGCUCCGAAAGCCUUUUGGAGUGGGUCUGUGGACUUUUCCAUGUGAAUAUUAAAGUCACCAAAAAUUAGAAUAUUAUCUGCUAUGACUACAAGGUCCGAUAGGAAUUCAGGGAACUCAGUGAGGAACGCUGCAUAUGGCCCAGGAGGUGUUAACAGUA
ensembl:lncRNA